UAUAUCUGGAGACGUUGCCGAUACAAAUAGUGUUCUAGAUUCAUAUAUAAUCAAGAGUGAUAAUCGUAAAGGCAAAGAAACUUUUGAAGAAAGGAAGAAAAUUCUUAUAAAUUUACUUAAAUAAUAAGUGCAAAACACUGAGUGAAAUUUCUAAAAUUGCAGGUGGAUUAUGGUCUACGAAUCAAGGAAUUAUUGAAAAAUAUGGAGACCAAAAAACUUUAAAAAAUAAUCCAUGAAAGUAAAAGUAAAAUAAUAGUAAAGUACGUAGAAACGAUUAGAAUUUAUAAAAGACUAAAUCAAUGUUCCUAAGGAGUAUUGAAAUCAUAGUAUAUUUAUUGAUGGAAGUAUAAUUUAACAUAUUUAUAUCGGAUGGAUGAUAUAUUAUUUGGAAUGAAAAAAAUACAGAAUAUAAGUAAAACUAUUUCUAGACGUCCAUAAAUCAUGGAAGAGGUUACAGUUCGGAGCUGCAUGAAUGCAAACGUGUUUGGAUUCCUUUAUUUUAUUGAUGGACAAUUAUAUAUCUUUUUACAAGAUAAUAACCUAAAACUCGCUUACAAUAUGCGACAAUGGAUCUUGUAUAAGAUACCAAAUUAAUUAAAAAUACCAUGCAUAAUCUUCAGACUUGAAUGUUAAUUCCCCCAAAACUAUCUCGAAGAAAAAAUAAUUUCUAAUACUAAAACUUUUUUAUUACGUUUAU